rnacentral:rRNA from 1 species
GACAGAGGGUGCAAACGUUGUUCGGAAUUACUGGGCGUAAAGCGAGUGUAGGCGGUCUGAAAAGUCAGGUGUGAAAGCCCUGGGCUCAACCCAGGAAGUGCACUUGAAACUGCCAGGCUAGAGUAUCGGAGAGGUUGGUGGAAUUCUCGGUGUAGAGGUGAAAUUCGUAGAUAUCGAGAGGAACACCGGUGGCGAAGGCGGACCAACGUGGACGAAUACUGACGCUGAGACUCGAA